rnacentral:rRNA from 1 species
GGCUUAUUGAUAAUAAUUUUAAGUCUAUCUGCCCAAUGAUAUUAUAAUUAAAUGGCUGCAGUAUAAUUAACUGUACAAAGGUAGCAUAAUCAAUUGUUUUUUAAUUGAAAACUAGAAUGAAAGAAUUAAUGAGAUAUAUACUGUCUCAUAUAUAUAUAAUGAAAUUAAAUUUUUAGUAAAAAUGCUAAAAUAGAUUUAUGGGACGAUAAGACCCUAUAGAAUUUUAUAUUUAUAUUUAGAUUUAAAUUUAUUUUAAAUAUAAAUAUUUAAUUGGGAGGAUUAAUAAAUUUAAAUAACUUUAUUUAGAAUAAAACCUUUAAUUAAAGAAUAAUUUUUGAUCUUUUAUUAUAAAUUAAAAGAAAAAAUUACCUUAGGGAUAACAGCGUAAUAUCUUUUUAAAGAUCAUAUUAAUAAAGAUGAUUGCGACCUCGAUGUUGAAUUAAGAUAAAUUUUAAAUGGAGAAGUUUAAUAAUUAAGUCUGUUCGACUUUUAAAAUCUUACAUGAUUUGAGUUCAAAUCGACGUGAGU